rnacentral:lncRNA from 1 species
GGGGGAGGGGCGGAGGAGCGCUCCCCGUUCCCAUUGGUUGCGGCUGCCCCCUGGUGGGCGCCGGUGGCUGCGGCCGGGCGAGUGAGGGGCUCGGCUCGGCUCGGCUCGGCUCGGCUCGGCUCGGCUCGCGCUCGCGCUCCCUCAGUCGUCGUCGUGAGGCGGUGGGAGAUGGUUCCUCGGCCGAAACUCCACCGAGGCGGCCCAGGCAUGGCUGGGUUUCAUUGCGAGACGAAGCGGUAGAGUGGUUUGCCAGAUCCAAGUUUUGAUCAUCUGAAAGAGCCUUUUGACACAACAGAAUUUCACAGACUUUACAGAGAUGAGAGACCUGGGGUAGUGGUGGGGUUGCUUCUAGACAGUUUUGUGAGCAUCCUCUCUCUGAACCUGUCAGGACCAGCCCAUGGAGCUGAUACUGCUAAGAUGGAGUACGAACUGGUGGCUGGAGAGCACAGUUUGGUUGUUGGAGUGAACAGAUUGAAUCGUAAGAUGCCUGUAAGUACUAACAGCACCUUGUCAUUAACAGAGCUCAACAAAUUGUGUGUGGAGUGUUAUUUUCUGCUUUAGUCAGAGGCCUGAAAUGCUUUGGUUUGCAUUGCUACUCAUUAAUUCAUAGUUUUGCAUGGUUUUAAAGACUACAG